rnacentral:ncRNA from 2 species
CCUUUUACAGGAAAUGGUGUCUUCCUGCACAGAACCGUCUUCGCCCUGAUCAAUCUCCGGCAAGUCUGAUGGCGCCUACAAAUAA